rnacentral:rRNA from 2 species
GGGUUGUGAGGUUAAGCGACUAAGCGUACACGGUGGAUGCCCUGGCAGUCAGAGGCGAUGAAGGGCGUGCUAAUCUGCGAUAAGCGCCGGUAAGGUGAUAUGAACCGUUAUAACCGGCGAUACCCGAAUGGGGAAACCCAGUGUGAYUCGUCACACUAUCAUUAACUGAAUCCAUAGGUUAAUGAGGCGAACCGGGGGAACUGAAACAUCUAAGUACCCCGAGGAAAAGAAAUCAACCGAGAUUCCCCCAGUAGCGGCGAGCGAACGGGGAGGAGCCCAGAGCCUGAAUCAGCAUGUGUGUUAGUGGAAGCGUCUGGAAAGGCGCGCGAUACAGGGUGACAGCCCCGUACACAAAAGCGCAUGUGCUGUGAGCUCGAUGAG